rnacentral:sRNA from 1 species
UGCCAAAAGUUACAGGAUGGAGAACGGU